rnacentral:lncRNA from 1 species
AGAGAGGGUGUGGAGCACGGGUGUACCAAAGGUUUUAUAUAUGCUAUAAAGCAGAGGAUUGGGGCCGCCAUAGAAAAUGCACGAACAAACGACAUCGAGAACGAGACACCCAUGGACGGUGCAGGCACCCAUGAGGGCCCAGGGAGCCUUUGCACUCUUUUGCCGUGCCGCCUGGCCGGCCUGCCAGCGGUUGGGAGGGCGGCAAAACUGACAAAUGGGGGGAUUGCCACUGCGAGAUGUUCCGCGGUGUUCGCAUGCUUGAGAGGUGGCAGAGAUGCGUUGAAGGACAUGGAGGGGGCUGGUGUAUGCACCAUACCAUUGGGGGACGGGGACGCGGGACAGGAGGGUGAAUGCAUCGGAGUGACAGGAAGGACUCU